rnacentral:lncRNA from 1 species
GCCCUUUCUGAGUGCCAGGCUUUUCCUGAAAGUUUUGCCAGAGACUGUGGACCUGGGUCAGAGGUGAGAGCAGCUUGAAGCACAUUGUGACCAUAAGCGACCAUGGUGGUGGGAGUGGCAGGAAAGUGGUGACCUGAGCUGCCUACGUACUAGUUGUAUGAAGUUACAAAUGUUUCUUCCCCUCUCUGAACCUCUGAGCCCAACCAGGAACUGAGGAUGCUAUCUUCCCUACCUGAAGCACGAAGCCCUUUAACUUUAAAAUGUAUGAUGAUCCUGGAACCCAAGGUCCAGCACUGAUGAGCCUCACCUUGCUAGAUGGCUUCCCUUUGUGGAGAAAAGUGUGUGUGUGUGUGUGUGUGUGUGUGUGUGUGUGUGUGUGUGUGUGGUUAAGUCAAAACCAGUUGAAUAUUGGCAGUUUCCUAUGGUUCAACCUACAAGGCCACCUGCCUCUCUCCUUGACUUCAGGCAUGAGGAUGACUUCUUGUCAAGCUGCAUUUAUUCCUAGGAACACAUUCCCAAUGCUCUCUUCUUUCAGACAAACCAUCGCUUUCUUAGAUUAGGAAUCCUAAUUAGUGAAAAUCCACAUUAGAAAGGAAAACCCACUGCUGCUUCUGGGAGUCCUCAGGCCCUAGCACCUUCCUGGCUUCACCUGGACAUUCGCCAUCUCAAGCACUGGCGUUUGAAGGCAGGAUGCAGAGACUGGAGUCCUGGCUAAGUAACAGGAUUCAGGUGCCUAAUUAACCUGACCCAGCUCUGGGCUCCUUCCUGGUUGGCUGUGCAGGCCAGGUGAGCCUCUCCUCAACUCCUUAGACUGUUAACUAUUUUCCAUUUAUCCUGAUGAGAUACUAACAGCAGCCCCCUCCUUUGUUCGUUUCUGGUCUUGGGCCCUGGAAGCACCCUGGCCUCCCUAGGCUGCUCAGGGAGCCCUAGCAUUCGUUGUUCUGAAGGUUUCCUUACUUUGGAGCCAGGAGGACUGGUCAUCCUGAUUCUUACUGCCUGUGGCUCCCCAUGCAACCCCUGCCUGUAGCCUUGCCCUGGGUCUUUAGCUCACCACUGCAGCUGGGGUAGAGAAGAGCCAUUGUAUUGAGUUGCAUGCCCUUGGCACCCAUUUGGAGCAAAGAAGGGAGGUGAUGAACUCGUCAACUUUCUCUAGUUUUCCUCACUGUCCAUCCUAAACACACACACAGACGCGCACGCCCACUCGCUCACACACUCACAUGCUUGCACACAGAUUUAAACUAUCUUCUGGAGGUUUAAGGAAAAAGGUUUUACUUGGUUUGCAGAAAUGCUUUCUUUGGGAUUUUUUCUCCUUGUUAGAGCCUUUGAGUCCAGGUAAAGUGAAAGUUCACAUAUGUGUUCGUUUUUGUUCUCUGUAAUGAGCUACUGGUCUUUAUCCCUAGGCCUUCCCUGCCCCAGUGUCUUGUCCAUAUGUCCUGACCCUGUGUCCUUGAAUUCCCAUUUUGCUUUGGGAUUUAAGUUAUUGUAAUUUGUCAACAAUAUUUAAAAAUAGAAAAGUCCUGAAGAAAACUUACCAGGUUCUUUUCUUUGGCUUUUUUUUUUCAAGGUACUGUAAAUUGUUAACUAGGGAUGCCAAGCAGGCUUGGUUCAAUGGCUAAACCUCUUACCGUAUUACAGUGUAAUGCUGAUUCAGCCUGGUCCCACCACCAGAGCACAC